AUUGAACGCUGGCGGCAGGCCUAACACAUGCAAGUCGAACGGUAACAGGAAGAAGCUUGCUUCUUUGCUGACGAGUGGCGGACGGGUGAGUAAUGUCUGGGAAACUGCCUGAUGGAGGGGGAUAACUACUGGAAACGGUAGCUAAUACCGCAUAACGUCGCAAGACCAAAGAGGGGGACCUUCGGGCCUCUUGCCAUCGGAUGUGCCCAGAUGGGUUAGCUAGUAGGUGGGGUAACGGCUCACCUAGGCGACGAUCCCUAGCUGGUCUGAGAGGAUGACCAGCCACACUGGAACUGAGACACGGUCCAGACUCCUACGGGAGGCAGCAGUGGGGAAUAUUGCACAAUGGGCGCAAGCCUGAUGCAGCCAUGCCGCGUGUAUGAAGAAGGCCUUCGGGUUGUAAAGUACUUUCAGCGGCGAGGAAGGGAGUAAAGUUAAUACCUUUGCUCAUUGACGUUACCCGCAGAAGAAGCACCGGCUAACUCCGUG
rnacentral:rRNA from 1 species